AAACUCAUCAGCGUAACAACAGGUGGUUUAAAAAAAUCCACAGCCAGCAAAAAGCUUUGGUGAGUUAUUCUUUUCGUCUGCCCUGAUCCUUCCAACAUUAUGCUUCAUGUGGUGGUGGGGAAGUUCUAUUAUGAUCAGAGGGAGAAAAAAAGAGUCUCCCUAUCCAUUUCUCAACACCAUAAUUUUCUACACCUCUUAGCAUGUCCCCCACCCCCUUCCCCAAACUCUUCUUUUUUCCAAACUAAAAAGCCCUCAACAGUCUAACUUCCAACCCCUUGGUCAUUGUGGCUGUCCUUUUCUGCAACCUGAAGAUUCCUCUUGUGCUUUAACUUGCCCAUGGCAAUCCAUGCUCUGGUAACUUCCAUAUUAGACUGCUGCAAUGCACUCUACAUGGGGUUGCAGCUAGACUGGUGACUAGGAGUGGCUGCCAAGACCACAUAACAUUGGUCCUGAAAGACCUACAUUGGCUCCCAGUACAUUUCUGAGCACAAUUCAAAGUGUUGGUGCUGACCUUUAAAGCCCUAAACAGCAUCAGCCCAGUAUACUUGAAGGAGCAUCUCCAUCCCCCAUCAUUCACUGAGGUCCAGCGCCGAGGGCCUUCUGAGGGUUCCCUCACUGUGAGAAGCAAAGUUACAGGGAACCAGGCAGAAGACCUUCUCAGUAGUGGCGCCCACUCUGUGGAACGCCCUCCCAUCAGAUGUCAAGGAAAUAAACAACUAUCUGACUUUUAGAAGACAUAUGAAAGCAGCCCUGUUUAGGGAAGUUUUUAAUGUUUGGUGUUUUAUUGCAUUUUUAAUAUUUUGUUGGAAGCCACCCAGAGUAGCUGGGGAAACCCAGCCAGAUGGGUGGGGUAUAAAUAAAUUUAUUAUUAUUAUUAUUAUUAUUAUUAUUAUUAUUAUUUGGAAACAUCAACAGGUUCGAAAUGAGGCAACCAGAUUAUUGGUUAGGGUUGCCUUGAGAACUCAGAUAAACUCCUGUUCUAAAAAAUCUGGAUUGGCUGCCAGAUCAAUUUAAUUUGCUCACACUGGAGUUUAAAGCCCCAAAAAUAACUUAGGUCCCAAAUAUCCUAAAGAUUACCUCCUUCCCUAAAGACCCUCCAAGGUUUUAGGAUCAACUUAGGGGACCCUCUUGGUAGUUCCACCUCCCUAACAUAUUCAGGGUAGUGGCAGCCCCUAAGUUGCAGAACUCCCUCCCCACAGAGGUGUGCUUGGCAACUUCACCAUGCAGCUUUCAACAAAUGCUGAAGACGAACCUCUUUAGCUGACCUUUGACACCUAAAAAGUGUGUUUUCAAGGCCCGCCACAUUCUUGUGACUGUCAUCUGUUUUAACUGUUUUAAAUCCUGGAUCUUAAAUUGUUGUAACCCACGCUGAGACCUUCUGGUGAUGAUGAGGAUGGUAAAUUGUGAUGCUGCUGUUGGCAUCCAUCUGUCUCAAAAGACAAUGGAGUUUGCCUCCAGGGGAAAAGUCAAAGCAAAGUGACCUUCCCAGGGCGCAAGCCUGGGCAGUGUGUAUGGGGGUGGGGUCCUGGGCUGCCCAGACAACAAGACCUUCUCAGUCUCACUGAUGUGAUCCAAAGGAAGGCAGGGCAAUACGUUUGGCACCAACCUGACUGCAGGAAUUGCUGCAAGGAGAUGUACAAGGCUCCAUCCAACCACCUUGGGGACUCCACUCCAGAUUUGUGUAGGGUUUACUCAGAAAACUCUGGUCCUAGACCUCCACUGCCUUGUGGAACAUCUCUGGGGAAUUAUGAUGAAUAAGAUGGUUUUACUGUACCUGGGGAGGCAAGGCAUGGUGGCUUCUCACACCUGCUGCCCUCCCCAUCCUUUUGUCUAUUCCUUCACAGCACACCUGUUCCUGACCACAGAUUGGGGAGAGGGAUGGAUGGAAAGACUGGAGGCAGGAAAAGGCAGGAGAGAACCUACUGCUGCCUCAUCUGGUUAAAGCGGUGGUGAAUCUAAGGUACAGGGGGAAUCUCUCAAUCGCAUCCUAGCCGGUUUACUUAUCUCAACGCUCUUUGAUGUGAGGUUAACAGAGAAGGGGACAAAAGGCCCCAUUUGCAAUUAGAUGGAAUCUCUGCACUGGAGCGCUUCAAUUAGAAUGCAGCUUUGGUUUACAAACACA
rnacentral:lncRNA from 1 species